ensembl:rRNA 5S_rRNA 5S ribosomal RNA
GUCUAUGCCCAUACCAUCCUGAACACACCAAUCUCAUCUGAUCUUGGAAGCUAAGCAGGAUUGGGCCUGAUUAGUACCUGGAAGAGAGACAACCUGGGAAUGCCAGUUGCUGUAGGCU